rnacentral:rRNA from 1 species
AACAACGAAAUAGGUAGUAAUAAUUAAUGAAACCUCUAAAACUUGGCAGUUAUGACUUUUUAAAGAAACUUGUUUUUUAAUCGACAACACCCGAUAAUUUUAACUUAAUUAUAAAAAUUUAUAUACCGCCGUUACAGAAACAACAUAAAUAAAAAUUCAAAACCAACAUACUUACAAAAAUCAGGUCAAGGUGUAAUAAAAAAUUGAGGAAAAAUAAGUUACACAUAAAAUAUAAUUCAGGAAUAUAACUUAAAACUAAAAAGAAAAAGAAUUUAUAAAUAAUUUAUAAUUAAAAAUUUCAAAAGAAAAUAAUAAUCUUAAUGC